GGGGUUGUGGCUCAGCGGUAGAGCACUCACUUAGUAUGUCUGAGGCGCUGGGUUCGAUCCUCAGCACUACA
rnacentral:tRNA from 1 species